UAGGGAAUCUUCGGCAAUGGGGGGAACCCUGACCGAGCAACGCCGCGUGAGUGAAGAAGGUUUUCGGAUCGUAAAGCUCUGUUGUUAAGGAAGAACGAGUGUGAGAAUGGAAAGUUCAUGCUGUGACGGUACUUAACCAGAAAGGGACGGCUAACUACGUGCCAGCAGCCGCGGUAAUACGUAGGUCCCGAGCGUUGUCCGGAUUUAUUGGGCGUAAAGCGAGCGCAGGCGGUUAGAAAAGUCUGAAGUGAAAGGCAGUGGUUCAACCAUUGUAGGCUUUGGAAACUGUUUAACUUGAGUGCAGAAGGGGAGAGUGGAAUUCCAUGUGUAGCGGUGAAAUGCGUAGAUAUAUGGAGGAACACCGGUGGCGAAAGCGGCUCUCUGGUCUGUAACUGACGCUGAGGCUCGAAAGCGUGGGGAGCGAACAGG
rnacentral:rRNA from 2 species